GCUCCCCUCUCUGAAGCAAAGCCCCAGCUUCUGCCUUUGGGGGAAAUUCAAAAACACAGACACAGGCAGCACUUACUAAAGGAUCAAAGAGAAUGAAAGGAAGAGAUAUGCAAGGAAAAACUAGAGCUUGAAUACUUGGGGGAGCAGCUGGAUUAACAUCUCUAGAGACUCGUAGGGAGAAAUGAACAUGUGCGUUUGAUGGCUCCAGCAGCUGAGAGUCUGAUGCAAACUCCACUGAAAGUCAUGGAAGGAAAGAAAGAAUCAAAGUGUGAACAUGAACCAACAGUGAGGGAAACAAAGACAAUAAGCUUGACUGUGGGUCUGCCUGCAGCCCAGAACCCC
rnacentral:lncRNA from 1 species